AGAGGAAGCCGGUGCGAUUCCGGCGCGGUCCCGCCACUGUCACCGGGGAGAACACCCCGGGAGCCAGGAACUC
rnacentral:sRNA from 14 species